rnacentral:rRNA from 1 species
UGGGGAAUAUUGCGCAAUGGAGGAAACUCUGACGCAGCAACGCCGCGUGAAGGAUGAAGGUUUUCGGAUUGUAAACUUCUUUGAUCGGGGACGAAAAUGACGGUACCCGAGGAACAAGCCACGGCUAACUCCGUGCCAGCAGCCGCGGUAAUACGGAGGGGGCAAGCGUUGUUCGGAUUUAUUGGGCGUAAAGCGCGUGUAGGCGGUACGGUAAGUCGGAUGUUAAAGACCCACGGCUCACCCGGGGGAGUGCGUUCGAUACUGCCGUGCUAGAGUGCAGGAGAGGAAAGUGGAAUUCCUGGUGUAGCGGUGAAAUGCGUAGAUAUCAGGAGGAACACCGGUGGCGAAGGCGGCUUUCUGGCCUGUAACUGACGCUUAGACGCGAAAGCAUGGGGAGCGAACGGG